rnacentral:rRNA from 1 species
UUCUACGGCCAUGCCACCCUGAACGUGUCCGAUCUCAUCUGAUCCUGGAAGCUAAGCAGGGUCAGGCCUAGUUAGUACUUGGAUGGGAGACCUAGGAAUACCAGGUGCUGUAGGCG